AAAAUGUGGCUUGCAUCAAUUAGCCUACAAACAGUCAUAUAUACUUGAUAUUUUUCACAAAAGCUAAAUAAAAUAUAAGUUUAUAUCCACUAUCGCGCGUGUAUUGUGAUUUCAAUUUAAUAAUCCAUCUGUCUUCCAUAAAUUUUAAAUUAAUUUUUUCCGAUAAUGUGUAUUAUACCUUAUAAAGCAACAGUCCGUAAGGUAAGUAAUCACUGUUCGAUGAGAAUUUGAACAAAAAUCUAUCAUUUAUAAUGAGCAUAUUGUCAAUUGACCAUGAUUAUAAAUAAAGGUGGUGUUAUAAAUAAAAUAAUUUUUACCAUAUCGCCUCCUCAUAAAAGUGAGCCAAAAAAAAAACCACAAAUAAAAGUACGUAUCAAAUACAAAAUAUUAAUAAAAUAAUUUACACCCAUAUAUUAAUUAAGAAAUACUAUAUAAUAGGAUGUUACAGUUGCCAUUCUUUUGGCCAUUCAUCAAUAAAUUGCUACAAAACAAAAAACGCUAAAUAAAAAAAAACCAUAGAAAAAGUUAAAAUACCGGAAAAAAAAAUAUAAGAAAAAAAGUAAUUCUACAAAAUGGUGCAAAUAUUGCAAAAGAAUGUCAAUACACACACCAGACAAUUGCUGGUAUAGAAAUAAAAAGAAAUACCAAGGGAA